GACGAACGCUGGCGGCGUGCUUAACACAUGCAAGUCGAACGGAAAGGCCCUGCUUUUGUGGGGUGCUCGAGUGGCGAACGGGUGAGUAACACGUGAGUAACCUGCCCUUGACUUUGGGAUAACUUCAGGAAACUGGGGCUAAUACCGGAUAGGAGCUCCUGCUGCAUGGUGGGGGUUGGAAAGUUUCGGCGGUUGGGGAUGGACUCGCGGCUUAUCAGCUUGUUGGUGGGGUAGUGGCUUACCAAGGCUUUGACGGGUAGCCGGCCUGAGAGGGUGACCGGCCACAUUGGGACUGAGAUACGGCCCAGACUCCUACGGGAGGCAGCAGUGGGGAAUAUUGCACAAUGGGCGGAAGCCUGAUGCAGCAACGCCGCGUGCGGGAUGACGGCCUUCGGGUUGUAAACCGCUUUCGCCUGUGACGAGGCGUGAGUGACGGUAAUGGGUAAAGAAGCACCGGCUAACUACGUGCCAGCAGCCGCGGUGAUACGUAGGGUGCGAGCGUUGUCCGGAUUUAUUGGGCGUAAAGGGCUCGUAGGUGGUUGAUCGCGUCGGAAGUGUAAUCUUGGGGCUUAACCCUGAGCGUGCUUUCGAUACGGGUUGACUUGAGGAAGGUAGGGGAGAAUGGAAUUCCUGGUGGAGCGGUGGAAUGCGCAGAUAUCAGGAGGAACACCAGUGGCGAAGGCGGUUCUCUGGGCCUUUCCUGACGCUGAGGAGCGAAAGCGUGGGGAGCGAACAGGCUUAGAUACCCUGGUAGUCCACGCUGUAAACGGUGGGUACUAGGUGUGGGGUCCAUUCCACGGGUUCCGUGCCGUAGCUAACGCUUUAAGUACCCCGCCUGGGGAGUACGGCCGCAAGGCUAAAACUCAAAGGAAUUGACGGGGCCCCGCACAAGCGGCGGAGCAUGCGGAUUAAUUCGAUGCAACGCGUAGAACCUUACCUGGGUUUGACAUGGAUCGGGAGCGCUCAGAGAUGGGUGUGCCUCUUUUGGGGUCGGUUCACAGGUGGUGCAUGGCUGUCGUCAGCUCGUGUCGUGAGAUGUUGGGUUAAGUCCCGCAACGAGCGCAACCCUUGUUCACUGUUGCCAGCACGUUAUGGUGGGGACUCAGUGGAGACCGCCGGGGUCAACUCGGAGGAAGGUGGGGAUGACGUCAAGUCAUCAUGCCCCUUAUGUCCAGGGCUUCACGCAUGCUACAAUGGCUGGUACAGAGAGUGGCGAGCCUGUGAGGGUGAGCGAAUCUCGGAAAGCCGGUCUCAGUUCGGAUUGGGGUCUGCAACUCGACCUCAUGAAGUCGGAGUCGCUAGUAAUCGCAGAUCAGCAACGCUGCGGUGAAUACGUUCCCGGG
rnacentral:rRNA from 1 species